rnacentral:lncRNA from 1 species
CAUAUGGAAGUUCCCAGGCUAGGAGUCCAAUCAGAGCUACAGCUGCCAGCCUAUGCCACAACCACAGCAACAUGGAAUCUGAGCUGUGUCUGCAACCUACACAACAGCUCAUGGCAACACUGGAUCCCUAACCCAGUGAGCAAGGCCAGGGAUCAAACUUGCAUCCUCCUGGAUACUAGUAGGAUUUGCUUCCACUGAGCCACAAUGGGACGUCCCUCUGUACCUGAUUUUAAUAUGAGUGAGAAGGAUGCUUUCUCCAUACCACCACCAAGCAAUUUUCAGCAGCUAGCUGAGUGUUGUACAAUUCAACUUAAUUCUGAUACUGUCUGCUUUGAUAGCGGUUGUAGCUUCCAUGCUCUCCUACUGUACACUCUCCUCAAAGCCUGAAAGCUCUCUGAAUCCUCUCCUUUUGGGUUUUGAUGGAGAUUCCAGUAUAGGCAUGAUUAAUUAGAUCUUUGACCAUUGGUGGUUGACUCAACCUUCAGUCCAUCCCUUCUCCCUGGAGGUGGAGGGGUAGGUGGGCCUUAAAAUGUCAUCCCUAUAAUCACAAGGCUGGGUCUCCAGGCACCCAGACCUCAUCCUUAGUUUUGGAUGCUUUCAAAAAGUCGUCUCAGUAACAUAACAAGUGGCACAUUUAUCACUAAUCACAUAGGAAGUUCCAAUGGCUUUAGGAACUCUGUGACAGAAAAAAGGACAAAACCAAAUAUGUACUUAUUACAGACCACACUGUCACAACAAUGUGAUUGAGUGAAUUGAUUGAUUGAUAAUGCUGUGUGUUCUAGAGUUCCUGUCAUUGCUCAGAGGAAACAAAUCUAAUUAGUAUCCAUGAGGAUGCAGCUUUGAUCCCUGGCCUCACUUAGUGGGUUAAGGAUCUGGCAUUGUCAUGAGUUGUGGUAUAGGUCACAGACGUGGCUUCGAUCCUGAAUUGCUGUGGCUGUGGAAUAGGCUGGCAAAUGCAGCUCUGAUUCGACCUCCAACCUGGAAACCUCCUUAUGCUGCGGGUUAGGCCCUAAAAAGACAAAAGAAAAUUCUGUGUGCUGAAUUUAGGGCAUGCUUUCAACCAGUUUGCACAUCUGUAAAAUGAGAGGGUAGGGUAGAUCAACUCUAUGCUCCCUUAAGUCUUUAACUUCCUAUGAAACAUUAUAUAUGAAUGCUAUUGGAGAAAGUUACAUUAAUUUACUUUCUUUAAUUUAUUUGGAACUUUUUGAAUUUAACAUGUAAUUUUAUAUAUUUGAAAAUUAUUCUGAGUCAGAUUUGGAGAUAGCCUCAAAUCUAUUAUUUGAGUGCAUCUAUUAUUCUUAGCUUUCAUGUUUAUGUUACUGGUCCCAAGGCUCCAGACAUAUUUUGUUUAUCAUCAAUGAUGACACUACCAUUUUCACGCAAUUCUGUUCUCAUGCAGCUACUUCAAAGAAAUAUUCUAAAGCCAGCUUGUCUUUGGUUUCCUGUUUUAUACACCAUCUGGAAGCUUUGGCUACUACAGCAUUUUAACCCUCACUAUUUAAAAAUAAUUGCUCAUAUAGACUAUGUAACUACCACCAAUAUCAAGGGACUAUCCAUAUCACACAUUCCACUUUGAAAAGGAGGAAGGAUAGAAUGGAUACUUUUAAAAGAUCUCUGUGUGUUCCUUCAUCCAAAGCAUCCUUAAAGAAGCAACAGAUUUAUAUUUCUGAUAGCUAUAAAUAGUUUUUGAAUGAUGCCUGUAAUGUCCCAGCUGAAAAGUUAAUUUUGAAUGUGAGAAGGUAAAUUGUCAGCAAAAAAAAAUUAUAAAUGUUUUCCUUAACUUGGCUAGAAAAGGACAUAAAAAUUAAAGAAGAAAUUGAUGCUAUAUGUACACCUUAUGGUUAAAAUAUUAAAAUCAUAUGAGAGAAAAGUGAUUAGAGUUCUCUAAUCAGUGCCUAAAUGUACAUUUACAUACUUCCCCUUACUAGCUGUAUGAUCUUGGACAUUUAGCUUAACAUCUAUAAAGUAUGGGUGGAUAAAGGGGCUCUUGUAAGAAUUAAGUGAGGUCUUUGACUUUAUUUUUAGCCCAAUCCCAGAACAUGAGAAAGUAAAUAUUAACUAUUCCUCUUAUAGCUAUGAUACCUGUGCUGGAGAUAAUUAAUGAGGCUGCUACCAAGCCAUUUAUUGAUAUACUGUCUUUGAGGUAGUUACUGUCUUGCUUUUGGAGAGGUGGUAUCCUGUCACUUUGUCACCUGAUUCACAAUUUGACUAUUUCAGCUCUUUCAAGUAAUUUAAUUUGUUUAAGGAAAUGUACUAAAACAACCCAAAUUAUACCUCCAAGGGGCAACAAUAAAUGAACACAAAAGGGACAGAAGUCUUUCACUGUCCCUCUCUCUCUCUCUCUGUCUUUCUCUCUGUAUAUAUGCAUGUGUCUAUUUGUGGUUCUGAGUGUUUGUGGCAGACUAAGAAAUAUUAACUUUAGUAAUUAAUAAGAAGGUAUCUUUUAUAUUAUUUUUUACUCAGAGUAGACACCCCAAACCAGAAGCACUGAAUUAUUUAGUUGAUCCAUUGUUUCUCAAAGCUAAUGAUUCAGUGGAGAGCACACUUUCUAAUUUCUUGGUGUAUUCAGGCGUCUAUUCCUACCUCAUUGGCUCAAGAUUGCCCUUAGGUGCACAUAUGGCACUUUAUUGGCCUUAGUGACCUAUAAACCAGAGAUGCAACUUCUAAAUUAUGUGGUUCAUUGUUUAGAUUGUUGGAAUUGUGCCUCACUCUUGCUUUUCAGUUAUAUCAAAAGUCCCGCUUUUACAUUUGAGAUUUGCUUCUGUCUCCAUGGGCUUAUUGUUUAUGGUUAAAAAGAAGGCUUCUCCUGUGCUUAGAAACUUCAGGGAUCAAUCUUGAGUGUUUGAAAUAUUUGCUUAAACAUUACUCGCUUAAUCAGGCUUUUAGCUGAUUGCUAUACAGUUCAAUGUUUGCUUUAUGCAGUUCUAGAGGGUACAGUUAUAAAGCACUCUACAAAUUGCUGCUGAAAUGCACAUUAUUAUCCAGGGAUCUUAUUUCAUUUGGUCAUAUGCUCCUAUCUACACUGAAACACAGUAAGAAAUAGUUAAGGCAUUUUUCUUUGAAUCACAAGAAAAAUAUGAGCUUCCAGGGGAAUUUAUGAAGGAACUUAUUAGAAGUAUUUGAAGUUAUAGUUAAGGUUUUUGUUUCAUACCUUCACUUAAGUCAUUUUGAAGAACUUACUGAUGUGUCUAUGAAAAAGAAUCAAAAUAUGACAAAAUAACCAACAAAGAAACCACAGAUAUCUCUUAAUAUUUGUGAUAAAUACAUAUGAGGGAAGUACUCUAAAAUUUAAUUUAGAAUUCUGAUUGGCUAUUAACUCUUAUUGAUCAAAUCAUUUGCAAAUAUUGUUUCCCAUUUUGUAGACUGCCUUUCUGUUUUGUCAGUGGUUUCCUUUGCUGUGCAAAAGCUUUUAAGUUUAAUUAGGUCCCAUCUGUUUAUUUCUUGUUUUUAUUUCUUUUGCCUUAGAAAAUGGAUCCAAAAAAUAUUGCUACAAUUUAUGUCAGAAUGCUCUGCCUAUGUUUUCCCCGAGAGGUUUUAUGGUUACUGGUCUUACAUUUAGGUAUUUAAUCCGUUUUGAGUUUAUUUUUGUAUGUGAGAUUAGAGAAUAUUCUAAUCUCAUUCUUUUACAUAUAGCUGUCCAGCUUUCUCUGCACCACUUAUUGAAGAGACUAUCUUUUUGACAGUGUAUAUUCUUGCCUCCUUUGUCAUAGAUUAAUUGACCAUAAGUGCAUGGAUUUAUUUCUAUGCUCUCUAUUCUGCUCCACUGAUCCAUGCAUCUGUUUUUGUACCAGUAUCAUAUUUUUUUUGUUUUUUUUUAUUUUUAGGGCCAAACCUACUGCAUUUUGAAGUUCCAAGGCUAAGGGUUAAAUUUGAGCUGUAGCUGCCAGCCUGUGCCACAACCACAGCAAUGCCAGAUCUGAACCACACCUGCGACCUACACUGCAGUUCAUUGCAAUGCCAGAUCCUUAACCCACUGAGCAGGGCCAGGAAUCAAACCCAUGUUCUCAUGGAUACUAUCAAGUGUGUUAACCACUGAGCCAUGACGGGAACUCCACCACAGGCAUUUUUAACCAAAUAUGAAAUAUCAGUGAACAUUUCUGCUCUCACCUUUCUCCCAUUGUAUAGGACGACAAUAUCCAAGAAACUUCCAAUCUCCUAUAUUCCUGAGGCUGCUCUACAAGUCCUCGGAUUACACAAGGUACCCUCUACUAUGACAAAAUAAUCAGCCUCUGCCUCUGGAGAGACUAGAAUACCAAAGCCCUUUCCUUAUAUUUUGAAGGAGUCAAGGUCCUGUCUCAAUCAAGAACAAAGAUAUUCCUAUAUAUUUAUACAGUAAUGUUUCCAAAAAUACUGAUAUAUAAUAAUGCAAUUUAAAUAACUGAAAUAUUUUCCCUUCUCUUAAUUUUUAUAUAUACUUCAUCAGUCCACUUAGCUGAUUUAAGGUAACCAAUAUGUUGUCUACUAAUUAUAAGUGGGUUAGAAAUUCUUCAGGUUAAUCUAAUCUCUAAUGUUUUACUAAUCAAAGUGUGUUCCUUUGAGCAGCAUUAGCUUUACCUGGAGUUUGUUAGCCAUACAGAAUCACAGCCUCACUUGGCCUAGGUGAUUUGCAUUGAUAAUAAAAUAAAAGAUGCCCUGUUCUAGCAGGGCUUCUUCAGCUAUUUGUGAUGAAAGACCAGGAACAUGUUUCCCCCAAGCUACCCUCUCUCAUCCAUUGUAG